rnacentral:rRNA from 1 species
GACGAACGCUGGCGGCGUGCCUAAUACAUGCAAGUAGAACGCAGUUGCGAACGGGUGAGUAACGCGUAGGUAUCUGCCUCAUAGCGGGGGAGAACUAUUGGAAACGAUAGGUAAUACCGCAUACUGUGAGAUGGACCUGCGUUGUAUUAGCUAGUUGGUGAGGUAAGGGCGCACCAAGGCGACGAUACAUAGCCGACCGGAGAGGGUGUGUGGGCAUGCUGGGACUGAGACGCGGCCAGGACCCGCACAGGAGGCAGCAGUAGGGAGUAUUCGGGAAUGGUCGGAAGUCUGACCGAGCCAGGCCCAGUGAGUGAGGAUGGUUUUCGGAUCCUAAAGCUCUGUUGUUAGAGAAGCGGUAACUAAACAGAAAGGGACGGCUAACUACGUGCCAGCAGCCGCGGUAAUUC